rnacentral:rRNA from 1 species
AGAGUUUGAUCCUGGCUCAGAUUGAACGCUGGCGGCGUUGCUUAACACAUGCAAGUCGAACGGUAACAGCAGAGCUUGCUCUGGCUGACGAGUGGCGGACGGGUGAGUAACGCGUAGGAAUCUACCUAGUAGUGGGGGAUAACUUGGGGAAACUCAAGCUAAUACCGCAUAUGCACUACGGUGUAAAGAGGGCCUCUUCUUGAAAGCUCUUGCUAUUAGAUGAGCCUGCGUCGGAUUAGCUAGUUGGUAGGGUAAUGGCCUACCAAGGCGACGAUCCGUAGCUGGUUUGAGAGGAUGAUCAGCCACACUGGGACUGAGACACGGCCCAUACUCCUACGGGAGGCAGCAGUGGGGAAUAUUGGACAAUGGGGGCAACCCUGAUCCAGCAAUGCCGCGUGUGUGAAGAAGGCCUUCGGGUUGUAAAGCACUUUCAAUUGUGAAGAAAAGGUUAAGAUUAAUACUCUUGACCCGUGACGGUAACUUUAGAAGAAGCACCGGCUAACUCCGUGCCAGCAGCCGCGGUAAUACGGAGGGUGCAAGCGUUAAUCGGAAUUACUGGGCGUAAAGCGCGCGUACGCCGCUUGGUAAGUCAGAUGUGAAAGCCCUGGGCUUAACCUGGGAACUGCAUUUGAAACUGCCAAACUAGAGUAUGGUAGAGGGAAGUGGAAUUCCACAUGUAGCGGUGAAAUGCGUAGAUAU